CCAGCUGGCCGGGCGGCCGCGCCCGCAAGAGCCGAAAGGCUGCGGGUGAGGAAAGUCCGGGCUCCAUGGAGACACGGUGCCGGCUAACGGCCGGCGGGGGAGACCCCAGGGAAAGUGCCACAGNNNNNNNNNNCCGCGCGACUGGCAACAGAAGCGGCACGGCAAACCCCACCGGGAGCAAGACCGAAUAGGGGCGGUGCGAAGGGAAACCUUCGAGGGCUGUUUCCGGCCCACCGCCCGGGUAGGUUGCGUGAGGCGCAUGGCGACAUGCGCCCAAGAUGAAUGGCCGCCACGUUCCCGCGCCGCAAGGCGUGGGGGCCAUACAGAACCCGGCUUACAGGCCAGCUGGCAUU
rnacentral:RNase_P_RNA from 1 species